GUAGGGUCCAAGCGUUAAUCGGAAUUACUGGGCGUAAAGCGUGCGCAGGCGGUUGUGCAAGACCGAUGUGAAAUCCCCGGGGCUUAACCUGGGAGUUGCAUUGGUGACUGCACGGCUAGAGUGUGUCAGAGGGGGGUAGAAUUCCACGUGUAGCAGUGAAAUGCGUAGAGAUGUGGAGGAAUACCGAUGGCGAAGGCAGCCCCCUGGGAUAACACUGACGCUCAUGCACGAAAGCGUGGGGAGCAAACAGGAUUAGAUACCCUGGUAGUCCACGCCCUAAACGAUGUCAACUAGUUGUUGGGGAUUCAUUUCCUUAGUAACGUAGCUAACGCGUGAAGUUGACCGCCUGGGGAGUACGGUCGCAAGAUUA
rnacentral:rRNA from 1 species